GCAGUGGGACUGGGACUGGGACUGGGUCGGGGAGAGAACCAGGAGGUGCCUUCCGGGAGAGGAAGGCGUGUGGGGAAACGCAGUGUCCCGGCGGAGAGACAGAACCCAAACCAAACAGGAGCCUGUGGGCUCAGAGGCCGGGGAUGGCGGCGGCUGGGUCCCCGAGGCCUCAAGAGCCACAGUCCCACUGCGGUUCCGGUUCCGCUGCCAGUCCCCCCGGCAUGCACUCCAGCUGCACUGGAGCCUCUGGAGUUUCCUUCCCACAGGCAGGAAGAGAACACCCCCCCCCCACCCCCCACCACCUGGCCCCGUCGCGAUCUCCCCGGGGCUCUCCGGCUGGGCCUCCGUACCCUCCUCCGCAGGCCUUGUCAGUACAGCCUGAAGGGUCUGGCUCCAGGUCAGCCAGCUGGUCAGGGCCCAGCCGCCGGCGGCCCGUGGAAGGGGGUGAAUUUGCGUGCGGGUCCAAGAGGGCAGCCGUCCAGCCCGCACCCACCGCACCCCCACCGCCACCGCCACCCCCACUCUCUGCGCCCUGCCUCCAGCCCUCAUUGCCCGACUCCCCGGCUCUCCCUCAGCUCUAAGUCUGCGCUUUGGGGGCCAGUCUCCCCUUCCUUCCCCCCUGCCCCUUUCUGCAGGUGGAGACCCCAGCGGUCGGAGGCCGGAGAGCGGACAAGGUGGAAGUGUUGCGUGUGUCUCACCUCCCCGGGCCACACGCACACGUGCAGCAGGAGAAUCGGCGCCCCGGCUGACUGCGGAGGUGCGGGUGUGGCGCGGCGUGCGAGCCGUCCCUGCUCCCUCGGCGGGAACGCUGCCCCCUCGCGGCUGCAGGGACAGGUGCAACGGCACGGGAAGCCUCGAGGGUCCUCCCGUCGACCAGAGACCCGAAGGCGCCUCCGAGGUUCUUGCUCAUCACCACGGCCAGGCCCGUGGGGGCCCCCGCGGCAUCUCGCUUCGGCCAACGUCCGCCUCGACGCGAGCGCGCGGUGGGCAAUGGCUUGGGAACUAGCACCCUGA
rnacentral:lncRNA from 1 species